rnacentral:rRNA from 1 species
CUCCUACGGGAGGCAGCAGUAAGGAAUAUUGGUCAAUGGAGGCAACUCUGAACCAGCCAUGCCGCGUGGAGGAUGAAGGUCCUCUGGAUUGUAAACUUCUUUUAUCUGGGACGAAAAAAGGGAAUUCUUUCUCACUUGACGGUACCAGAAGAAUAAGCACCGGCUAACUCCGUGCCAGCGCCGCGGUAA